rnacentral:rRNA from 1 species
CCUGAGAAACCCAAAAGAUCGAAUGGGGAGAUUCAUCGUCAGCGGUACUGGUACGUGUGCGGUUCGCGAUGUCCGAGACUUCGGUCUCGCGGCACGCGUCCGCAUGUUUUUUAUUGCCUGGUAUCGUCGGCGUGCACUUCUCCCCUAGUAGGACGUCGCGACCCGUUGGGUGUCGGUCUACGGCCCGGGUGGGUGCCUGUCUCGUGUGCGCUUUAUCGCGUCACUGCGGGGCAGACCCCCGGUUGCCUGACCGGCUGCUCGGCGGUACUCGCAAGGUAUCUGGCCGCAAAUAUUCGAACUGCGUCCGGCCCGUCGCAAGCGAGGCGAGUGUUCCCGAAUGUACGGAUCUAAUGCCGUCAUCGGGCCUAGCCAGCUGUUGGUUGACGGUGUCCUAGGACUGGCUAUGACAAUUAUGAUACCGGUCAGCGACGCUACUGCUUUGGUACUUUC